CGUUACGGCAGUAUCGUCGGUGCACCGUGCGCUCUCAGUAUGCAGCCGGAAAACAAUUAUUCACCCUUGUCUUUUGCGUACUUCUUGUUUCCUUGGUGGGUUCGCCCACCACUAGGACAAACAUAAACCUUUUGUAAUUGCAAUCAGCGUCAGUAACAAAUUAAUAAUUACAACUUUCAACAACGGAUCUCUUGGUUCUGGCAUCGAUGAAGAACGCAGCGAAAUGCGAUAAGUAGUGUGAAUUGCAGAAUUCAGUGAAUCAUCGAAUCUUUGAACGCACAUUGCGCCCUUUGGUAUUCCAAAGGGCAUGCCUGUUCGAGCGUCAUUUGUACCCUCAAGCUUUGCUUGGUGUUGGGCGUCUUGUCUCUAGCUUUGCUGGAGACUCGCCUUAAAGUAAUUGGCAGCCGGCCUACUGGUUUCGGAGCGCAGCACAAGUCGCACUCUCUAUCAGCAAAGGUCUAGCAUCCAUUAAGCCUUUUUUUCAACUUUUGACCUCGGAUCAGGUAGGGAUACCCGCUGAACUUAAGCAUAUCAAUAAGCGGAGGAAA
rnacentral:rRNA from 1 species